UCAGCUGGAGGACACAUGAUAGUGCAAUGAGAAGAUUGGGGGAGGUCCGAUAUAUAUCUGAUUUCAGGAGGAUAUCUUAUCUCACUGAGCAGACUGAAUUCGAGAGGCUACAGGACGUAGCUGGUGGAGAAAUCCUGAAAGUGCUACGCGGCAAUAGGAUUGUUCUGAAGGAGAAAAAGAGGAGGAAAGGAUAUUAUUACCUUGCAGGGAGCCCAGUGUGAGGUAGAGCUUCAAGAGCCAGGUGGAGUCCAGAGCGAGAUAGAGCUCCAGAUGGAGGUGGAUCGGGCACGAGAUAGGAGACUUGAGAGAACGAGAAGCGACGUCGUAAGGUGAGAUUCUUAUUGCCACAGGAUGAUACUCCGAGUAGGUUUUAGGUCAGGAGGAGCACAGCAUAUGACGGAGGGGAUCGAGAGGCUUGGCUCAACUCCCAUGUUUGCCCAUCUAUGAUCAGUAGAUGAUUGCCCUAGUGCAUGAGGGUGAGGAGAUCCAGAAGCUCUCAGAGUUAGGAGGAGAUCGAAUAUCGAGUCGAGGUGGAGAUCGUUAGGAUUUGAUGUCUCGAGAUUCAAUCCAUAUUGAGUCCACAACGAGAUCC
rnacentral:lncRNA from 1 species